rnacentral:rRNA from 1 species
CAGCACCUCAAGUGGUCAGGAUGAUUAUUGGGCCUAAAGCAUCCGUAGCCGGCGCUGUAAGUUUUCGGUUAAAUCUGUACGCUCAACGUACAGGCUGCCGGGAAUACUGCAGCGCUAGGGAGUGGGAGAGGUAGACGGUACUCGGUAGGAAGGGGUAAAAUCCUUUGAUCUAUUGAUGACCACCUGUGACGAAGGCGGUCUACCAGAACACGUCCGACGGUGAGGGAUGAAAGCUGGGGGAGCAAACCGGAUUAGAUACCCGAGUAGUCC